rnacentral:rRNA from 1 species
UCAAGCUACUAAGAGCGCAGGGUGAAUGCCUUGGCGACGAUAGGCGAUGAAGGACGUAGUAAGUUGCGAUAAGCCACGGGGAGCGGCAAGCACGCGGUGAUCCGUGGAUGUCCGAAUGGGGGAACCCAUUCCGAGUAAUAUCGGAAUACAGUGGUCUGAAUUCAAUAGGACCAUAUGAGCCAUACCCGGUGAAGUGAAACAUCUCAGUAACCGGAGGAAAAGAAAGAGCACAUCGAUUCCCUGAGUAGUGGCGAGCGAAACGGGAACAGCCUAAACCGAGGUACUUGUACUUCGGGGUUGCGGGACCUUAAUGUGGUAUGCCGAGAGUUAGUCGAAGGCAAUGGAAAUUGCCCCCAUAGAGUGUGACAGGCACGUAAACGAAAACUCAAAGCAACCUAGAGGUAUCCCAAGUAAGACGGCACACGUGAAACGUUGUCUGAAUCCGCGCCGACCACGGCGCAAGGCUAAAUACUCAUCGUCGACCGAUAGUGAACUAGUACCGUGAGGGAAAGGUGAAAAGAACCCCUUUGAGGGGAGUAAAAAGAACCUGAAACCCUGUGCUUACAAUGUGUCAUAGCCGAGUCGCAAGACUUGGUGAUGGCCUGCCUUUUGCAUAAUGAGUCUGCGAGUUAUUGUCAGUGGCAAGGCUAACCCCGGUACGACGGGGGCAGCCGCAGCGAAAGCGAGUCUGAAUAGGGCGACCAGUCGCUGGCAAUAGACCCGAAGCGGAGGUGAUCUACGCAUGGUCAGGGUGAAGUCUGGGUAACACCAGAUGAAGGCCCGAACGCGUGAAUGUUGAAAAAUUCUGCGAUGAACUGUGCGUAGGAGCGAAAGACUAAACAAACCCCGUCAUAGCUGGUUCUCCCCGAAAUAUAUUGAGGUAUAGCGUCCGGCCACUAGCGCGCGGAGGUAGAGCACUGGAUGGGAUAGGAGCCUUACCGGGCUACCGAAUCCAACCAAACUCCGAAUGCCGCGUUGCACUACCCGGGCAGUCAGACAGUGGGGGAUAAGCUUCAUUGUCGAGAGUGAAACAUAAACAGACUAUCAGCUAAGGUGCCUAAACUACGUUUAGUGGAAAGGAUGUGAGGUUGCUAAAACAGUGAGGAUGUUGGCUUAGAGGCAGCCAUCAUUUAAACAGUGCGUAAUAGCUGACUCAUCGAGCGAUCUUGCGCCGAAAAUGAUUGGCGAUCAAACGUAGUACCGAAGCUAUGGAUUCACCAGGUCCUCGGACUUGGUGAGUGGUAGGGGAGCGUUCCAAGCGCAUCGAAGGUGGAAGGUGACUGAAACUGGAGUGCUUGGAAGUGAGAAUGCAGACACGAGUAGCGAUAAAGUCCGUUAAAUUCGGACUCGCCGUAAACCCAAGGUUUCCUGGGGAAGGUUCGUCCGCCCAGGGUUAGUCGGGACCUAAGUCGAGGCCGUAAGGCGUAGAUGAUGGACAGUUGGUUAAUAUUCCAACACCACCUUGGUUUAAGCUGUAAGGAACCCAGAAGGGAAUGCGAGCCACCGAUUGAAAGUGGUGGUCAAUACCGUCGGAAGACGGAGUUGGACGUGGCGACUACGGUCAAAGCGGAUUCGUUAAUACCACGCUGGCGAGAAAAGCCUUGCAGUGUUCACCAUGGGUGCCCGUACCGUAAUCCGACACAGGUGGGUGAGAUGAGUAUUCUCAGGCGCGCGAGUGAAAUCUCUCUAAGGAACUCGGCACAUUAGCCCCGUAACUUCGGAAGAAGGGGCGCCCCGAUUGGUCAGAUUAUAUCAAAGCCGAUUGGGGCCGCAGUGAAAGGCGCUCUGCGACUGUUUAACAAAAACACAGCUCUGUGCGAACUCGCAAGAGACGGUAUACAGAGUGACAAGUGACCAAUGCGGAAAGAUUAAGGCGAGGGGUCAAGGCGUAAGCCUGAAGCUCUGAACUUAAGUCCCCGUGAAUGUCGGCCGUAACUAUAACGGUCCUAAGGUAGCGAAAUUCCUUGUCGGGUAAGUUCCGACCUGCACGAAUCGUGUAACGACUGAACGACUGUCUCGGAGAGGAUCUCGGCGAAACUGUAACGGCGGUGAAGAUGCCGCCUGCCCGCAGUAGGACGGAAAGACCCUAUGCACCUUUACUGUAAGCUCGUAUUGUGUUCUGGUUGGCGAUGCGUAGCGUAGGUGGGAGACUUUGAAGCGGGUGCCUCGGUGCCCGUGGAGUCGCAAUGUGAAACACCACUCUUAGCUAAUUAGGAUUCUAACCCCACGCUGUAAGCCAGCUGGGGGACAGUGCGUGCAGGUCAGUUUGACUGGGGCGGUUUCCUCCCAAAUGGUAACGGAGGAGCGCUAAGCUUGGUUCAGCACGGUUGGCAACCGUGCGUUGAGGGUAUGGCUAGAAACCAGGUUGACUGUAAGACCUACAAGUCGAGCAGAUGCGAAAGCAGGCCCAAAUGAUCCGACGGUUUAAUGUGGAAUUGCCGUCGCUCAACGGACAAAAGGUACGCUAGGGAUAACAGGCUGAUCGGAUCCAAGAGUUCAUAUCGACGAUCCGGUUUGGCACCUCGAUGUCGGCUCAUCGCAUCCUGGGGCUGGAGAAGGUCCCAAGGGUCCGGCUGUUCGCCGGUUAAAGCGGUACGCGAGCUGGGUUCAGAACGUCGUGAGACAGUUCGGUCCUUAUCCACUGUGGGCGCAGCAGACGUGAGGGAUUUGUUCCUUAGUACGAGAGGACCGGGAACAACGCACCUCCAGUAUGCCGGUUAUCGUGUCAACGGUAGCGCCGGGUAGCUGUGUGCGGAAACGAUAAGCGCUGAAAGCAUCUAAGCGCCAAGCGCCUCCCAAGAUUACGUCUGACGGUCGCAAGACCCUAAAGGCUCGAGGAAGACUACCUCGUUGAUAGGCCAGGUGUGUAAACAUGGCAACAUGUGAGCUGACUGGUACUAAUAAGCCGUGAGGCUUGAUCAC